GUGUCAGCAGCCGCGGUAAAACGUAGGAUGCGAGCGUUAUCCGGAGUUACUGGGCGUAAAGCGCGGGCAGGCGGUGUCGCACAUUGGACGUGAAAGCGCCCGGCUCAACCGGGCGAGGCCGUUCGAGAUGGCGGCGCUGGAGGGCAGCAGAGGGGCGUGGAAUUCCGGGUGGAGUGGUGAAAUGCGUAGAGAUCCGGAGGAACACCAGAGGCGCAGGCGGCGCCCUGGGCUGCACCUGACGCUGAGCCGCGACAGCCAGGGGAGCGAACGGGAUUAGAAACCCCCGUAGUCC
rnacentral:rRNA from 1 species